rnacentral:rRNA from 1 species
UACGAAGGGGGCUAGCGUUGUUCGGAAUUACUGGGCGUAAAGCGCACGUAGGCGGAUAUUUAAGUCAGGGGUGAAAUCCCGCAGCUCAACUGCGGAACUGCCUUUGAUACUGGGUAUCUUGAGUAUGGAAGAGGUGAGUGGAAUUGCGAGUGUAGAGGUGAAAUUCGUAGAUAUUCGCAGGAACACCAGUGGCGAAGGCGGCUCACUGGUCCAUAACUGACGCUGAGGUGCGAAAGCGUGGGGAGCGAACAGG